UUUUUUUUUUUUUUUUUUUUUUUAGGGCCGCACCUGUGGCAUAUGGAGGUUCCCAGGCUAGGGGUCUAAUCAGAUCUGUUGCCGCCGGCCUACACCAGAGCCACAGCAACGCCAGGUCUGAGCCGCAUCUUCGACCUCCACCACAGUUCCUGGCAACGGCGGAUCCUUAACACACUGAGCAAGGCCAGCGAUCAAACCUGCAACCUCAUGGAUACGAGUCAGAUUCCUUUCCCCUGUGCCACAACAGGAACUCCCCUAGCAGAUCAUGUUUAAAGAUCUUUCUAUAUAUGGCCAACUUAUUUUGGGGGUCAUAGUUAAGUUUGCCGUCUCAGGAGCAGCAUAAGCAAAGAUACAUCAUGGACUUCCCAGAACUAAGUAGUAUCCACUUAGCUUUUUAAAUGUCUUCAAAACACAUUAUCUUUUUCUAAAUCUGAAUUUCACAAAGUAAGGUUGAACUUUUUAAUUCAUAUAUUGUUUGGUCAUUUGUAUUACCACUUCUGAAUUUCCUGUUCAUAUCUUUUUAUUUUUCCUUUUUGGUGUAUUGCUUGUCACAGUCCCAUUUUCCUUUCAAUUUUACUUAUAUCAGUGAUGAACAAAAGUAAAAUUUAUGCUCAUAAUCAGCCUUUUUUUUUUUUUUUUUUUUUUGUCUUUUGUCUUUUUAGGGGCCACACCCAUGGCAUAGCUAAGUAUGGGUGCUGUAGCCACCAGCCUACGCCAGAGACACAGCAACACGUGGGAUAGGUGCCGCGUCUGCGACCUACACCACAGCUCACAGCAACACCAGAUCCUUAACCCACUGAGCAAGGCCAGGGAUCGAACCCGCAACCUCAUGGUUCCUAGUCGGAUUUGUUAACCACUGAGCCACGACGGGAACUCAUGAUUUUUGUUUUUCUUUUUAUGGCCACACCUGUGGCAUACGGAAGUCCCUGGGCUAAGGGUGAAUCAGAGCUGCAGCUGCUGGUCUACACCACAGCCACAGCAACACCAGAACUGGAGCCACAUUUCAGAGAGGCCAGGGAUCGAACCCACAUCAUCCUCAUCAACACCAUGUCGGGUUCUAAACCCUCUAAGCCACAUCGGGAACUCCCUACAAACUCCAUGAAAACAUGGAUUGUAUCUUGACCAGGUAAAGAAAGUAACACAGGAGGAGAGAGUCUAGACUUGAGAGAGAGAAAAUUCCAAAUUUGAGUCCCAGCUGGGUAUCCUCAGACAAGUCACUCAACCUUUCUGAGCAGCAGCUUCUCCCAUGGCAACACAGACACAGACACAUGCCUUAGGGGUUGCAGCAACCUUGCCAUGGGAUAUGCAUGUAAAACACCCAAGAGAAAUGGGGUUAUCAGUAUGACUAGCCCUUCAUCUCCCUGUGGCCAUAACACAAAUUCCUGCAGGACUGGUGGACUUCCUGUUUGUUUUGGCCCACCCUGCUGCACUCAGAGAAGCCCAAGCCUGCUCUGCCCACAGCCAUGUCUCCUGCCAAAAGCUAACAGAAGGAUGACAGCCAUAGCUGGGGCCUAGGAAGGGCUUCUGAGACAAAGCCCUGGAGGGCAGCCCUAAGGCACCACCAGAACCGGGGUGGUACAGUCUGGGAAUGGGAGGGAGUUGGGGGGUCAGAGAGCAGGAGCCAAACCCUGAGAAUAAGUAACUGCACAUCACAGGUCACAGAGUCCCGAGUGUCUCAAGCCAGACCCCAAAUCCAGGACUGGUGAGAGGGCCCAUUUUAUUUACUUAUUUAUUUAUUGCUUUUUAGGGCCGCACCCACGGCAUAUGGAGGUGCCCAGGCUAGGGUGUUAAAUCGGAGCUGUAGCUGCUGGUCUACACCACAGCCACAGCAACAUCAGAUCUGAGCCGCGUCUGCGACCUGCACCACAGCUCAUGGCAAUGCCGGAUCCAUGACCCACUGAGCGAGGCAAGGGAUCGAACCUUCGUCCUUGUGAUGCUGGUCAGAUUUGUUUCCACUGAGCCAUGACGGGAACUGAGGACCCAUUUUAAAGGUGGGCAAGAUGAGCCCCAGAAAGCUGAAUAGCCGUUCUUAAAGGAGCUUGGAAAGGCAUCCACCCAUCGUCCCAGGAGCCCUGACCUACAGAAGGUGCUUAAUUGGGCCACCAGCAUGUGUUGAACUAAAGCUUCCUUAAGCAGCUGUGCACCCUGCAAUUCACCUUCGUCACAGGCAUGACAGCUUCACUCAUGGAUCUGACCCCAUCAGCAUCUGAGUGUACCACCUUGGACGAACAGGACUUCAUGGAAUUUUCACAGUCAGCGUAGGGUACCGUUACCCAGUUUAAUAGCAGAGGCCCAGACCAAGCACCGAGCUCAACAGGAUUAAGGAGUGAAGUCCUGGCAGAGCAGGUCCUUCCACAAUGGCCCAACAACUGGAUUGGGCACUGGGAGGUGGAAGAGGGUGGAAGAGAGUCUUUAGAGGAAAAGAGGCCCAUGGGAUCUGGCAGCAGACCCCCCCCCCCCACCGCCCCCGGGCUCUCAAAUCCUGACUCCCGAUCUCUGGCCCCAUGCAUCAGCACCCCACUCACCACCAGGAAUCCCCAGGACAAGCCCUGCCCUAGAAGGGCUGUCCCUUUAAGGCUCUGGUGGGCAGACCCAGCCUUUUCCAUGGAGCUGACACAGUGCUGUUUCUCUGUCAUCCAAAUUCCAGGCCGAAACAGGAAGUGAGUCGCCACCGGAGAAUGUGGGACUCCCAGCCUAAGGGACAGGCUCAAGGCCAAUGCUGGGUCCCUACAGGGGUCAGGCCUUUGGGAGGGUCAGGCCUUUGCCAGGUGCAUGGCUCUUGGGUGAAGGAACACCAGUAUCUGCUUGCGUCACUAAUAGUAUGCAACUGAGAGACGUUCUCAAACUCAAUCCAAGUUCAUCCAAGUUGACCAGAUCACACAGGGAUCUUUCAGUCCCCAUCCAGGCCCCCAAAAUGAAAGCGUCAGGUAAUCUACACGCUCAUAUUCCUGGACGGUAGUUAACCCAGGCCAUCCCCACUCUGCAAGAGGACACUGAGGCUCCAGUUAAGGUAAUCUGCCCAUGGUCCCAAUCCUCGUGAAUUUGAUCCACCUGGACGUGGAAUGCUCAGGCGCCUUCUACACAGGGCGGAAGCAGACAGAUGUGGGUUCAGAUCCUGGCUGAGGCACCACCUGAAGCUUCUGGUGCCUCUGUCUUAUCUGUCAAAUGGGGAUCCCCUCAUCCUAUCAACAAGUAUUUCCUCCCGGAUGUCUGCUCGGUGGCAGGCACAGUGACAGGUAAAGGGCCCACGACACAGUCCAGGAAAGGCAGACGCAGCUCAAAAGUAAACCAGUAAAUGAAAUGACCACCGGAUGAGAACAAGGGCUUGAGAGGAUGGUGGGGAAGGGCCGCUGAGCUGCGUGAACACAAACCAGGAAGAGUAAAGGGGCGGCCUUCGCCACCAAUGGGUCAAAGGGAGGAAAUCAAAAUCCAGCACCCCUAAGACCUGGAGCAAAAGCUCAUAAGGAUGGGCCUCUGGGGAAGGGUCCAGUGCGGUGACCACCCCCACACCCCGCCCGGUACGACCUGCUAGGUCAUGCCCAGGAAGGGGACGCCCAGGCCGCCACCUUCGGAGAACGCCAGCGCGGGUGACAGCACUGCGGCCUCGGGCCCUGGUCCUCCCUAGCCUGGGACAGAGCCGGCUCGCGGCCCAGAGCCUGGAAACGACCCCCCUGAGCCUUGAGGCCCCCACCCCCGGCGGCGUAAGCCCCUGUGAGGAGGAAACAAGCCCCAGCGGGGACGCGCUGGCCGCCUACCCUGUCGGCGCUCGGGCUUCCUGAGCUGGAGGCGCGCCCGCUGCGCGGGGCCUAGCGAGCGGGUUUAAAGCGGGGUUCACUGCGCAGCUCCGUCUCCCGCACGUCGGGUCCCAGGCGGCGCCGCUGGGCACAGCCCACCCCUUCCCUCCGUGGUGGUCCCUCGCCGACCCCUCCUCCCCAGAGCGCCCCCUCUGGCCUGGGGGCCUCGGCGGCCCUGCGGCCUCGCAGCAGCCGGGAUGAGGCGCUUGGUGCUCACUGGAAGCCAGGGCCCCUUCCCGUGCGGCACCGCCUCAUCCCGCCCUCACCAACAAGCCCCUCACCAGCGGGAAACCGAGGCCUGGGUGGGUGAGUGGGUGACUGGCCACGAGGUUCCAGGCGCCCCGCACACGCGCCGGGCAGCGGCCACCCAAGUCUCACUCUUCCUCAUCCGGAAAGUGCAGCUGGCGGACCUGCCUACGAGGAGCUUUUCGUUGCAAUAUUCAUGACUAACACAAGGUCCACAUCUGUAGGGGCGGGUGAGGGAAGAGCUCUAACCUAUUUUAACUGAAAACAAAAAUGCAGUUGAAAGCGCUUGUGACCUUUUAUAUAGUUUCUCGAGAACACAUAUAUUCAAGUACAUGCGUAGCAAUUCUUUUUCAUGUGCACCCAGUCACUCUGGAUGAGGUAGGGAGGCUUAGGGUCUGCAGGGAUGGGAGGAGGUGCACUCCACCCUCAUUUUCUGGAAUGCUCUUCCAAACUGAGUUAAUGCAAUGGCUGGCAUUGCUCGGGGACCAGAGUCCUUUGUUUUCUGCUGUUUUCAUCAGCCUUGGCCCUGCUUCCCUCAUGGUCGCAGGCCACACAACUCCAGGCUCAACUACACACAGGAUGACAUCCAGGAGACAUUUCACCUUGAACUUUUUCGUACUAUUUUUCUAAGUGCACGUAUUAUGGAUGUACAAUGUACACUGAGGUGGAGUUCUCUCGUGGUCUAGCAGGUUAAGGACCCAGCAUUAUCACUGCUGCAGUGCAGGUUCAACCCUGGCCCAGGGAACUUCCACAUGCCAGUGUGGCCAAAAACAAAAACAAACUAAACAGAGCUAACCAGGUAGUAGCACUUAGGAUCCACUUUUACUUUAUCCUUUAAUUUACCUUCUUUACAAAGAGAAACAGAAUCCCCACCCGAGACCUUUGGAUUCAGUGUGGAGGUGGGUCGUUCAGGAACCUGUUUUGAUUUUUGGUUUGUUUUUUCUAGGGUGCACCCGAGGCUUGUGGAAGUUCCCAGGCUAGAGGUUGAAUCAGAGCAAUAGCUGCGAUCCUUCGCCACAGCCACAGCGACCACACCACAGCUCACGGCACUGUGGGAUCCUUAACCCACUGAGCGAACUCAGGAUGAAUGUGUGUGUGUAUGUGUGUGCGGUGUGUGUGUGUGUGUGUGUGUGUCUUUUCUAGGGCUGCUUCCCGCGGCAUAUGGAGGUUCCCAGGCUAGGGGUCCACUCAGAGCUGUAGCUGCUGGCCUACACCACAGCCACAGCAACUCGGGAUCCGAGCUGUGUCUGCGACCCCACACCACAGCUCAUGGCAACACCGGAUCCUUAACCCACUAAGCAAGGCCAAGAAUUGAACCUUCAACCUUAUGGUGCCUAGUCGGAUUCACUAACCACUGAGCCACAUCGAGAACUCCAGGAACCUGUAUUUUUAAACCUCUCCCAAGGUGACACAGCCCUGCCAGGUGCAGGAGAGCCACCUCCCGGGACACAGCUGCUUGGUCACUCCUGGUGGGCCAGGAUUCCCAGCGCCCUGGGACCUUGUGAGUAUAAACUUCCUUCCGCCAAGCCCAGUAAGACAGCCUCCCCAGAGGAACAGACUGGUGGUGUCCAGACUUCCUCAAAGCCUGAGGGACUGAAGGUGGCUGGGCAGGCAGCCAAGGGGAGGGGAGGGGUGGAGUCCUCUGACAGCUGCCCUCAGCCUCAGGGCUGGCCCUGAGAAGCCCAGUGCCACUGGCCACCUGCCCAGUCAACAAUCCAGAAAGGGCCAGGCCACAUUCCCCUCUGCACUCUUGGCUGAAUGAACCAGAGGUCCUCAGACAAUGGUUCUGACUGCAGAAGUUUGAAAAAUGCUGCUGCCUAGGUGCCACCCCCAAGGAGGCCCCAGCUAGUUGGUCUGGGGUACACUUGACCACGGCUGAUUCUACUAUGUGCAAGCAGGGCGAGGACCAUGGAACUGGGGGGGAAGAGUGAACAUAAGGAAAGGACUUUGCUGGAGGCGAGUGUAGAACCCAGAAGAGAUCCUGCUCACGCCCCAAAAUGGGGAUUUUAUCCAGAGGGACGAUGGCGGUUACUAUUUCUGGGCUCCUGUGUGUGCUUACCACGUGCCAGCUGUCGUCCAAGGCAUCUUCACCUCUUCCCGGACCUGAGGGAGGGCUCACCUCACUCACCAAGUCCUGCUCUUAACCAGCUGGUUCUUGGAAGACUGUGAAGGCUCACAAAAAAAAAGAGUGAAGACUUUUCAUGAAAACCUAGAAAACUGCAAGCUACUUUACACCUACUCAUUCAAGAAAUGUCCAGCUUUCCUACCCUUUGUGCCUGGUGCUGACGUCCAGAGCUGGGCACUCAAACUGGAUGGGAAAGCACGCAGUAGUUCACAUAGCAUCCUGUUCAGAGAAAUGGCAAGAAACCGAAAAGUGGAGUGCACCACCCUCGGAGAGCUAAGAACUUUCUACAAGUUGUUGCAGUGGUGUGUGGGUCUGUGUGUAUGUGUCCACACUAGGUCUUGAUGGGAAAGGCAUUUCUUAUUGUCAGUCACAGUCCGAAACACUUGAGAAACAGAGACAGAUGGGCAAGAGACAAGCCUUCGUGUACCGAAUAUAAUUGUGUAAGCAAACGCAGUUCUGUUAACCUAAGAAGCCCCCAACUGUAACUGCGUGGUAGUUACAAAUUUCUAGAUACACCUUGAAAUUCACUUUGUGGCCAUGACACCCAAAGUAGAAGAAAUGGGUGAAAAGAGUAUAAACAGCCUUCUCCAUGGUUUGGAAAGCGUCCCCCACUCCCCCAGGAAUUUCAGCCCAGCACCACCAUCACCCCUAAGACCGACCAAUGGUGGGCCUUAAUGUCUUCCUCAAGUCUCGACGGUACAAUAGCACAUACCUUGGUAGAUUUAUGGAGAAAGAUCUCCGGACUAUUAGUCCACGGGGCGCCCAGGGGCUGAAUCGGCCCAGGGAAACCAGGAGUGGAAAGCUGCCCCCAGCAUCCCCAAACCCUUCCUUCUUCUCCGUCAGGCUGCUUAACCGUUUUCAGCCUGCUGAGCAUGCUAGUUGUUGCAGCUGGAUGGAGCCCAGGAUUCCUAGAGCUCUCAAAGGCGGUCCCACGAAUGAUGGGACUUCAGGCCGCUCAGAGCGCACAUCCAGCAGACCUGCAGCAAAGGACCAGCACAGCUACCAUGUACGGCUGUGCCGCAACCAAAUGCAGAGCAAACACGUCGGCCCAGCGUCGCCUGCCCUCGGGUUCGGGGGGCCUGGCUCCCCCAAUUCCAGCAUUAAGGAUGAUCCCCUGUACUUGCUGUCCUGUGGCAUCACCGGUAGGCGCUGGCUUCACUCUGGAAAACAACAUCUCACCCACCUGUGGACAAGCUUUUGUCCUAAAAACUGAUCAUUUCUCAGACUACAAGCUUCACCAAGUGCUUGAUACCGGCCCUCGAUCCGUUUGCAAGACCGGGGCUUCCAUGUUACGGUCUCAUAAAACACUGAACUCUCACGCAGCCACCUGUCAGUCAACCAGCAGCACAGCUUAGUGGUUACAUCCACAAAGGACUAAGCAAAGUGUUGGGAAGGUUACGCUCCAAAACGUUUCAGUUUUUACCUUUGGGGAGGGGUGAAAGAGGACAAGUUGAAAGGGUCUUUAAGGUGAAAUGUCUGACAUUUUAAUUUUCUUCACAAAAAUGCAUGAGUGUUAAUCUCUUCAAUGGCACAUUUAAAAAAAGAAAAAGCUAUCAGAAUUAUUUAGCGUUGAUAUUCCAGACUUAAGGACUCCUCUGAUGAGAAGCAGAUUCAAACAGUAGACGUAAGUCUACUCACAGAAUUCAAGGCACUAAACUUCGCAUUGUUCUUUUUUUUUUUUCUAUUUCAGAGAUGAUGAAACAGAACCCAGAGAGAGAAACUUACCCAGGUUCUCAUACCUAGUAAAUGGUGAAGUCAGCAUUCAAAUCCACAUAAUUUCAAGCAAAGAUUCUUCUUUCAUACAAGGGGGCAGAAGGUAAGUGAACACUGUAAGAUCUUUUCUGUCCACUAGUAGUAGAUACGCAACACCGGCUAAGAUGUAGGGAGAAAAGGCACUCUCAUCACCAUGGUGAUGCAACUAUUAACUGAUCCUCCUACUUUGAUAGGACCGUUCAAUAUUUUAAAUAUGUGAAUUCCUUUGAACCAGCCAUUUCCCCUGCAGAAAUUUAUCCUAGGGAAACCUAAAAAAAAAAAAAAAA
rnacentral:lncRNA from 1 species